UGCGUUGUGGCUCAGUGGUAGAGCGCUCACCUAGCACAUGUGAGGCCCUGGGUUUGAUCCUCAGCACCACAU
rnacentral:tRNA from 1 species